rnacentral:misc_RNA from 1 species
GAUGAAGAACGUAGCGAAAUGCGAUAAGUAAUGUGAAUUGCAGAAUUCAGUGAAUCAUCGAAUCUUUGAACGCACAUUGCGCCCGCGAGUAUUCUCGCGGGCAUGCCUGUCCGUGCGUCAUUUCAACCCUCAGGGCCCGCCUGCUUGCAGGCGCGGCGCUGGUGUUGGGGAUCGGCUACCCUGCCGUCCCCCAAAUACAGUGGCGGUCUCGCUGCAGCCUCCCCUGCGUAGUAGCAACACUCGCAUGCGGAGCGCGGCGCGGCCACGCCGUAAAACCCCCGACUUUCUGAACGUUGACCUCGGAUCAGGUAGGAAUACCCGCUGAACUUAAGCAUAUCAAUAAGCGGAGGA